UACGGAGGGAGCUAGCGUUGUUCGGAAUUACUGGGCGUAAAGCGCGCGUAGGCGGCUUUGCAAGUUAGAGGUGAAAGCCCGGAGCUCAACUUCGGAAUUGCCUUUAAAACUGCAUCGCUUGAAUCCGGGAGAGGUGAGUGGAAUUCCGAGUGUAGAGGUGAAAUUCGUAGAUAUUCGGAAGAACACCAGUGGCGAAGGCGGCUCACUGGACCGGCAUUGACGCUGAGGUGCGAAAGCGUGGGGAGCGAACCGG
rnacentral:rRNA from 1 species